AGCAGUCGCCGCGGGAAUACGUAGGGUGCGAGCGUUAAUCGGAAUUAUUGGGCGUAAAGGGCUCGCAGGCGGUUUCUUAAGUCUGAUGUGAAAGCCCCCGGCUCAACCGGGGAGGGUCAUUGGAAACUGGGAAACUUGAGUGCAGAAGAGGAGAGUGGAAUUCCACGUGUAGCGAUGAAAUGCGUAGAGAUGUGGAGGAACACCAGUGGCGAAGGCGACUCUCUGGUCCGUAACUGACGCUGAGGAGCGAAAGCGUGGGAAGCGAACAGGAUUAGAUACCCCCGUAGUCCCUGUCUCUUAUAC
rnacentral:rRNA from 1 species